rnacentral:rRNA from 1 species
AACGCGAAGAACCUUACCUGGGUUUGACAUCUCCUGACAACCGUAGAGAUACGGCUUCUGUAGCAAUACAGCAGGAUGACAGGUGCUGCAUGGCUGUCGUCAGCUCGUGUGGUGACAUGUUGGGUUAAGUCCCGCAACGAGCGCAACCCUUGUCUUUAGUUGCCAUCAUUCAGUUGGGCUCUCUAAAGAGACUGCCGUGGUUAACACGGAGGAAGGUGGGGAUGACGUCAAGUCCUCAUGGCCUUUAUAUCCAGGGCGACACACGUGAUACAAUGGACGGUACAGAGGGACGCCAAGAGGCAACUCGGAGCUAAUCUCAAAAAGCCGUUCUCAGUUCGGAUUGGAGUCUGCAACUCGACUCCAUGAAGUUGGAAUCGCUAGUAAUCGCGGAUCAGCACGCCGCGGUGAAUACGUUCCCGGGCCUUGUACACACCGAGUAUA